UACGUAGGGUGCAAGCGUUAUCCGGAAUUAUUGGGCGUAAAGAGCUCGUAGGCGGUUUGUCGCGUCUGCUGUGAAAACUGGAGGCUCAACCUCCAGCCUGCAGUGGGUACGGGCAGUCUAGAGUGCGGUAGGGGAGAUUGGAAUUCCUGGUGUAGCGGUGGAAUGCGCAGAUAUCAGGAGGAACACCGGUGGCGAAGGCGGAUCUCUGGGCCUUACCUGACGCUGAGGCGCGAAAGCUAGGGGAGCGAACAGG
rnacentral:rRNA from 1 species